AAAUAUCAUUGCAGUGCAUCCACCGUGCGUCAUCCAAAAGUAAAAGUGAAAGCUCCUGAGGAUCAAAACACUGGACUUCGGUCACAUUUCAGAGGCUGCUACCAGGUAAACGCAGUAAGUCGACUGCUAGACGACGCAAACAAUUUAGUAAAAUGCAGUGUGAUUCUGGUGGCGAUGCAUCACACCUUUAAGCCGGACUACACUUUACCAGACAGCAGAGAGCUCAACCGUCCAUUCGACCUCUCUGUCGACUGCCUGUUUCAUGAAAAAAAGGGACUUUUGGUUUGUCCUCGAAAUAACCCUACAACAGAGACCGUGAUGAGCUGGGUCUCAAAUCUUGAAGAUGUCUCUGAUAGAAAUGGGGGAAAAAAAAUCAAAAUAUAAGAUUUACCCCCAUACACCUUGUCUUCCUCACUACAUGCUUGGAACUGUGUGCGGCUCACAAAGCCAAUGUCCUGAAAAUGUGCUGAUAGAUACUGUAGAAAAAGCUGUUAUCACGCGUGGACAGGGCGACGGUUAGCAGCUCUGUGAGGUUAGACUCCAAUUAAAACUCUAAGAUCGGCAUGCAAAGUCCACAAUGACUCAGCAAAUACUUCUUUUGCAGUGGCAUGUUGGCAGGCUAGCAUAAAGAAAUCAGCACUAAACAAAGUACAGCAAAGGAUGAUGUGAAUGUCCUCAUAGUUUUGCAGGUAAUUAGUUAUAAUCCAAAGUACUGCGCAAAUUAACAACCUAACCCAAUAAUGGGGCUGAAAAGUUUUAAUAAUGUAUUCUGAUCGUGGAAUGUGAAUAUCUGUAUCAAAAACACAAAUGGGACCGUCAUGGUGGCACUAGAUGAAAAACUAAGGGGAUCAUCAAAGUCAGACAGAUUUGUCCUCUGGGAUGAAUUUCAUGUAUAUUUCAAUAUAUGACUCUCACUGCCUUCCCCUUAACACAUCGCGAGCAUGACAACAACUUAUUGUUGACUUGCACAUGAAAUUAAAUAGUGCAAUUGAACCCCUUAGAUCAAUACAUCAAGUCAUACAUGUCGCAUAAUGUUCUGCAUAUAUUCUAUAUGUGUUGUGCAUGUCUGUCUGAGUUUUUUUUUCUUUCUGUUACUGUACUUUCCCCUCCGCUCUUCCGUGUGAUUGAGGCCACUAUAAAUUGUGUGCUGGAAUAAGAAUACUUUGCCAAAGUGUGCAAAUUCCGCUGAAGCGUUAGCUUGGCAGGAUGCUGGACACUGAUUCCCCCACGAUGGUUUGUAAAUUGUUCGCUGAUCUGUAGGACGGUCGGACCCUUUGUGUUGCUGACAGUGUCGAUUCAAGGGCCUGGAAUAAAUAAUCACCUUGUA